rfam:Desulfobacterium vacuolatum DSM 3385 genome assembly, contig: Ga0002809_105
UAGGCUGACUCCAAAGUACCCGAUGGACAGGCAGCCCAUGAGAAAACAUUAACAGGUCUCCUCACAGCGUUGGCAGGUGCCAAUCUGAUUUAUGGCCUGG